CGUAGUCGAUGGGAAACAGGUUAAUAUUCCUGUACUUGGUGUUACUGCGAAGGGGGGACGGAGAAGGCUAUGUUGGCCGGGCGACGGUUGUCCCGGUUUAAGCGUGUAGGCUGGUUUUCCAGGCAAAUCCGGAAAAUCAAGGCUGAGGCGUGAUGACGAGGCACUACGGUGCUGAAGCAACAAAUGCCCUGCUUCCAGGAAAAGCCUCUAAGCAUCAGGUAACAUCAAAUCGUACCCCAAACCGACACAGGUGGUCAGGUAGAGAAUACCAAGGCGCUUGAGAGAACUCGGGUGAAGGAACUAGGCAAAAUGGUGCCGUAACUUCGGGAGAAGGCACGCUGAUAUGUAGGUGAAGUCCCUCGCGGAUGGAGCUGAAAUCAGUCGAAGAUACCAGCUGGCUGCAACUGUUUAUUAAAAACACAGCACUGUGCAAACACGAAAGUGGACGUAUACGGUGUGACGCCUGCCCGGUGCCGGAAGGUUAAUUGAUGGGGUCAGCGCAAGCGAAGCUCUUGAUCGAAGCCCCGGUAAACGGCGGCCGUAACUAUAACGGUCCUAAGGUAGCGAAAUUCCUUGUCGGGUAAGUUCCGACCUGCACGAAUGGCGUAAUGAUGGCCAGGCUGUCUCCACCCGAGACUCAGUGAAAUUGAACUCGCUGUGAAGAUGCAGUGUACCCGCGGCAAGACGGAAAGACCCCGUGAACCUUUACUAUAGCUUGACACUGAACAUUGAGCCUUGAUGUGUAGGAUAGGUGGGAGGCUUUGAAGUGUGGACGCCAGUCUGCAUGGAGCCGACCUUGAAAUACCACCCUUUAAUGUUUGAUGUUCUAACGUGGACCCGUGAUCCGGGUUGCGGACAGUGUCUGGUGGGUAGUUUGACUGGGGCGGUCUCCUCCUAAAGAGUAACGGAGGAGCACGAAGGUUGGCUAAUCCUGGUCGGACAUCAGGAGGUUAGUGCAAUGGCAUAAGCCAGCUUGACUGCGAGCGUGACGGCGCGAGCAGGUGCGAAAGCAGGUCAUAGUGAUCCGGUGGUUCUGAAUGGAAGGGCCAUCGCUCAACGGAUAAAAGGUACUCCGGGGAUAACAGGCUGAUACCGCCCAAGAGUUCAUAUCGACGGCGGUGUUUGGCACCUCGAUGUCGGCUCAUCACAUCCUGGGGCUGAAGUAGGUCCCAAGGGUAUGGCUGUUCGCCAUUUAAAGUGGUACGCGAGCUGGGUUUAGAACGUCGUGAGACAGUUCGGUCCCUAUCUGCCGUGGGCGCUGGAGAACUGAGGGGGGCUGCUCCUAGUACGAGAGGACCGGAGUGGACGCAUCACUGGUGUUCGGGUUGUCAUGCCAAUGGCACUGCCCGGUAGCUAAAUGCGGAAGAGAUAAGUGCUGAAAGCAUCUAAGCACGAAACUUGCCCCGAGAUGAGUUCUCCCUGACCCUUUAAGGGUCCUGAAGGAACGUUGAAGACGACGACGUUGAUAGGCCGGGUGUGUAAGCGCAGCGAUGCGUUGAGCUAACCGGUACUAAUGAACCGUGAGGCUUAACC
rnacentral:rRNA from 1 species